GGCCGGUUGGCGCAAUGGUAGCGCGUCAGUUUUCGGUUACACUGCUGAUUACCACUGAAGGCUGCGGGUUCGAAUCCCGUGCUGGUCG